ACUUUUGAAGAGGAACGAUUAAUUUGGGAAUGAGCGAAGAUGUCUGCGUUUGAGUUACUGAAGAAGAAGGUGUUCGCGCAUAUGUUUAAGAUGUUUAUUUGGGAACUUUUGCGUUUUGAGUUUCUACUUUGUUAGGGUUACAUAAUUUGGGAACUUUUGAGUUUCUUACUAUUUUUUAGUUUUUGCGUUUGUAUUGAGAUGUUGAUUUUACUGUGC
rnacentral:lncRNA from 1 species